CAGACAGAGCCGAAAACAUAACUUGUUUGACAGUAAAGUGGCUCACCGUACAAAAGAAGAUCAGGGUCAAUCUUUGACUCCUGUGCAUACAAUUCACAUUGGCCUAAGUUUCUUUCCACAAUCCAAAUGCAUAUAAGUAGAUAGAGACCUCUACAGUAAAGUAUACAUAAAGGUGAUCAUGUGACUACAAAUUGGCUAAAUUGGCAAUCUUUCCUUCCUUCCUACUCUGAAAAACUAUAAUUAGAGGUAAACAAACCGAAUCAAUGGAGGUUAAGUCUUGUCUAAUUUUUGCCACAUUUUCUGUGUUUGGCCAUUCCCGUGUUCUUAACUCACCUCUGCAUCUGUUCUGAUUGUUCUUGAUCUUUAGCACAAAUCUCACCUGAAACCAUCCAUUCACUCUGGGAUGACCUGUGGUCUAAUUCGGGUCAAAAGACCCAGACCCAAUCCCAACCCAAGACGCCUCACCUAACCUCACCCCCCACCAACACCACUAUAAACCCACCACUGUAAUACAAUCAGACUCUCGCUCAGAAAGCACAAUGUAUAAAAUUAGUGAAUAUUGUGACUUAAAGAUACAGUAUAUUAGAGGUUAUUAUGUAUGAUGAGAGUAUUUAAAGAUAUAUAGUAUUACUGCUUAUCUGGUUAAAGAUGUGUUGAUGAUUCACUCCUUUAUAGCUCUAUACUUUCAAAGGUGCCAUCUUGCCAUCCACCUCACGGUUGAGUCUAUUUUCUCUAUUAUCUGUGAAUGACAGCCCGUCUGUCAUCUGCCAGUACUGUGGUAGCAGUGAGUGUGGAUCCAGCUACACUGAUACUAAUAUUGAUCUAGCACCGUGCUGGGCUGCAUUGAGCAGGGCAGAACUGUGUGGAAUGUGGAAGUGUUGAAUAUAAUUACAUAUUCUGUAACAUAAUUACAUAUUCUGUAACAAAAUUAUGUUUUACAGUAGGCUUAUAGAACAGGCAUGCGAAGGCGUUGCUGCUUUAUCUGUGAAAUGUCUCUGCUAAUCUCUCAGUGUCUGUGUUAAAGGCACCCUGUGGAGUUUUUGACCACUAGUAGUGCUAUGGAGCAAUGUUUUUACAAGAGGGUCCCUGAUCUGUUUGUAUGGUGCGGGCGACAGGAUACACAUUCUUGUCACUGGUUUCAUGCUAUUUUGCUGAUCAACAGUAAGUAGCGGUAAAGCGCGAAGAAAUGUUUCAAUGCACCAACAAAGGCAAAUAAGAUGAAGGCUGCUAGCAAGCUGUGGAUGUAAACAAUGUUCGGUUUGAAAUAUAAAAACAUGGCUUUGCAAAUGUUUUAAGAGAAAGGAAAUGCAUUCAACACGUUAGACUCAUGGACAUAAAGUUAGUGGACGUAGCAUUCAUGACGUUUGUUGGUGCCAUUGGUUUGUGAGGUGCCGUUUUAAAACCUAAAAUUGGGCGAUACGGGCGUCGCCAUUAUGUUUUUUUGCAACCGGAUGUAAUGAUUUUUGACGAGAGUGUGGAGCUGGGGAGGAUGACCUAAAUGCUAAAGAGGCAAAGUUGGCGAUUUUCAACACUUCUGAAGCGAGUUAUCCAGCAGUUUUACUGGCAGGCACUGACCUCUGGAUACUGCUGCCAUUCAUCUGCAUGUACAACAGAACAGAAAAUUGGCAAUCAUUCCCUUUUGUUACCAACUAACGAUAGCGGUAGCUAGCAAGCUUAGUUAGCAGAACGCAGAAUAGGCAUUUCUAGGCGAUCAAAAUGUCCCAAUUAACUUUAAUAAAGUGAAAACACAGUGAGAGGGUCAAAAUUCAGGACUCAAACACAGACAACACCAUUAACAAGUUCACAGCUAUGUUAAUGUACAAAGGGCCAUGGUUAGCAUUGCUAAGCCUGCGUAAUAGUCCUUCCAUCAAUAGCUAAAAAAGCCUUAUUUUUUUGACAUUUAACUGUUUAACUAGCUAUAUGUCAAAUUACCAACAAUCAAAAUGACAUGAUGACGGACACUUUAGACACUAAACAUUUUUGGUGUUUAUUCAUGCAAAUAUU